rnacentral:lncRNA from 1 species
GAAACACGCCCCGGGCGCACACCACGGUGCCCGGAACCGCGGGGCUCGGGGACCCGCGGGGGUCGGAGUCCGGGCCCACUACCUGGGCUGGCGGUGGACCUGGCUGACUCAUUUCGGUCCGGGGAGCUCACUUUGAGGGGAGUUGGAGUCCGCCUAGCCACUUAGGCCUGGACUCAGGGUUCUGCGGAAGUUACACCCCUGGUCAGACGUGGUAGCACUCCCAUCUUAUUCAAGAUCCUGUUUGAAAAUUACUGAGGCAGAAACUAGGAGUGAUUUCACAUCUCCCCAAGAGCUCCAGCGCUGCUGUUUCAAGGUCAUACUUACCUCUCAAGCACUGUAUUUGCGUCAUCUUCCUCGUCAUCUGCAGCCUUCCCCCAGGGUAUGUCCUCCGAAUGCUCUGGGAAGGCCCAAUUCACUGAAAACCUCUGUCCAAGUCAAGGAGGGGUGCCGUGCAACACGUAUCCCUACUCUGGUUCAUCUUAUCCAAUCUGUUUAUUGAACCAAGAUUCCUGUCACUUCCUUCCUUCUCCCUUGACUAUUACCGGCCCUACUCCCAGCCAUCUCAUAGCCUAAAAUGUUGAUUUUAUGAUUUGUCUAUUUCUUUCUGGAGAGAUCUUAAGGGAUCAACACAAGUGAAGUGGAAUAAAGGCAGGGAGUCGGGGGUGGGGGGUGGUUGAGGCAACAGUGGGGCUCAACUAAUUCAUGGCCUCCAUUUAUUGAGACCACAAGCCCUUGUAAAAGAGACCAAGUCUUUUAACGUCACGGGCCAUGUUUGGCACAGAAAUGGUGUCUCUAAAUGUUCAACAUUAACAAAAC